AGUCUUAACAGAAAAAUAAGCUUAUAGUAUAAAAUACUACACGUUUAGGUUUAAACAAAUGGAUAUGGCAGAGCAAUAUGUAACAAUCCAAUAAUGCUUAUUUCUUUUUAUUUUAGUAAUUGAGUUUUGUUACAAGAUAGAUUCUGAAACAGUUUUACACACACACACUACUCAACCUUGCUUAGCAAGGCAAUCAAACAUGACUUAUUAGGAAAAGAAAAAAUUGAAACAAAAUUAAGAUGAAGCUUGCAUGUCUCAUCAUCAUCAUCUGCUGCUUAUGAAGUUGCAGGGACCAAGCGUCUGGAGCAAAUUGUGCAGUAGAAUUUCUUCUUAACUUUAUGAGAGAUUGGAAGAAAACAAAAUCUCAAAUGGGCAUCAAAAUCUAUUGCCAGCACAGGCCCUCCACAGUAUGGGCAAGCUGCAUCAGCUCCAUUUCUCCUAAUCACCUUUUCUCGCAGAUCGAAUAUUGACAACACACUCAUUUUUCUCUUUUUGUUGGGGGACGUUGUUGUAAGCAAUGCUUGUUCUCAAUAUAUUUUUGUAUGCACAUAAUAUAUACUUAAAGAUUUGGGCAUGCAACUUCUUUGGAGUUUCAUUUUUAAUGCUGUUUCUUAGCUGGGGCGCUAUUUUUUUUUUUAAUUUAGUUACAACUGUUAAAGAACUUGGUAUUUUUCUCGAACUGAUUGGUGAUGUUCACGUUUGGUGCGUUUAAAGCAAGAAAUGAAUCAAUUGAGAAGCUGCGAAGAAAUUGGUAUUGAAAGCAGCGAGGUUCGCUCCAGGUCAAAAAAAUGGUGCAUUGACGGUUUGACUUCUUGGACAUUUUAGCUGCGGUUUCUCACUGAGCCCGUGUUUUUAAUUACAAUAGAAGCUUUACACCCUGGAUUUUGAUGUAACUGAUGUAUUCAUUUGACGCACCGCACCAUAUUAUGUGAAAAGAAAGGAAUAAAAUCCUUUUUUUAUCUGAAUAUUAUUGAAUUUUUAAUGAUUUUUUAUUAUGUGUCUUUUAGUGAUAGUGUACGGAUAAGAUUUAAUUUCUUUUUACUUUUUUAUUUAUUAACAACCAGUCAGUGAUUGAGUUAUUUGCUCAUGACAUGAUCAAAUCAUAAAAAAAUCUUGAUCCAAAAAGAAAAUAGAUUAAAAUGUGCAACAUGUUUACAUCCUGCAUCACUUGGGAAGGUUGUAAGUCAUGAGCUCAUAAUUUGUGAUCCCCUUUGAGUCUAUUAGGAUUCUUUUCGGGUGGGCUUGGGCAGUACCAAAAGAAAGAAAUCCAAAGGGUAAAGGAGACAAUAUCUUGUUAGUGGAUCGGCCGUUACAUUAGAAUAGAUUGAGUUACAAGUGGGAUGAUGUUAUUCUUUUUUUUUUUAAUUAAUAUUAUUUAUUUUAGAAUUUCCCUUAUUACACAAUAAAUAUUUUUUCUCCUCCCUCAGGAUCUCAAUAGACUAACUGACCACGUCUUACAUCUCUCUUUCUUUUCUUUUUCUUUUUUUUAAAUUGAUUCGCAAUUUGAAUGAAAUGUUAACUCACAGUCAAAUCCCCAACUAAAAUUAAACAAAAUCUUAUAAAAUCACAAGAAGUAAGGUCAAUAUCAUUAAUAACAACAAAAUCCAUCACUUGUUCAUAAAAUUUAAUAAAACUCAAUAUUGAAACUCGUCAUAUGUUGAUGGAUUUAUGUACCUGUUGUCGAUGAAGAUAGAUCGUAGAGGUGAUAAUUAUACUAGAGAGAGAGAGAGAGAGACGGGGUGGGGAGAGACGGAAAAAAUAAAAUAAAAAUUAUUAUUUUUUAAUUAAGAAUGAUUCAGAAAUAUUAUAAAAUAAAUUAAAAAGUGGUGGCCGGUAAUAUCGUUUGAGAAGGUAAAAUAUUAUUACUCUUAUCUCUUGACUUGCCAUUGCUUGGUCUUUUUUUUUUUUUUCCUUCUUUCAAAAUGGACUUAUCGUUACAUUAGGAGAAAUUAAAGAGUCGGACGAUUGGCUCCUCCCUAAAAAUCCUAAUAAAACACCUUUUUCAAAAGAACCCCAUUAAUUAAACUAAAAGAAUUCAUUAUUUAUAACGAUACAUGCAUUCUUCCAAAAUUACCCUUAAUUUAAUCUCUUUAAAUUUGGCUUAUUUAUGUAUGAAUAUAUAUUUUUUGAAAUAAUUACUUCUUUAACAGAAAAAAUUACAAGAGACCUACCAUUUUGGAAGGGCAUCCUCCAACAUUUGAUCAAGGCCCCCGCUGCUAUAAUAGCCAUCACCAUCAUCUUAUUUUGCGCCUGUAAAAGCUUUACAAUCAGCAAUUAAACCGUAUAAACAAACAGUUGAGGUUUCAUUUUCAAUACCAUCCAUACGGAACAAGAUUCCCACAGCCUCAAAUACGAAUGGGGUUUUGGCCAAUUAGACUGAAUAGCUGCUGAGCAAAUAUGUAUAUAUAAACAUAAGGAUCAAAGUUGUGGUGUUGAAAAUGACCCAAGAUCCUUGCGUGUUCAUUAAAGGAUGCGUACUCGAAAGAGAUUGAAAUAGGGAUAGUUUUAGAAGAAGAUCAGUUUCCUCAUAAAUAAUGAAUUCUGUUUUAUCUGUUAAAGAGGUUCUUUCAUAAAGAGGGUUUUAUCAGGACUUUAUUGGGGUGUUGUUAGUAGCUCAACCCUAAAUUGAAUUAAUGGGCUGGCAAACCUAAAAGGUAUUUGACUAACCCCCUAAUCUCCUCAUGAAGCUCCAUUUUUAAUUAUAUUUAUUUUAUUUUUGAAAAUAAAUUUAAUUUUUAUUUAAUUUUUUUAUUGUUAAAACUUAAAAUAGUAUUGUAUUAUUUUUUUCAUUUCUUUUGUAAUCUUAUUGUUACUCGACAUACAAACUGAAAAGUUUUCUAGUUUAUGAAUUUUUGGAUGUUAAUUAUUAGCUUAAAUAGCACAUAUAUUUAGACUGUAGUUUGAAAGUAAUGUUAAGUACAAAAAUAUUUAAUUAAUAAGAAAUAGAAAAAAAAAAAAAAAAAAGCGAUUGAUCAUGAAUGUGAGUAUUUUGUUAAAAAAAAAAAAUUCCAUGUGUUGACUUCUUAUUUGUUCUUAACUAUAAUUUUAUUUGAAGUAGGGUUUUAUAAGAAUAAUGAAGGGGUGCCAAUAGCUUCACUCAAUGGUAUUUAUCCUACUCAACUUAUUUCACUAGCCCCACUAUCUAAUUUGUUUCUAAACCUACCCUGUAUCAAAAAAUAAAUAUAGUAGAAUCUCAUUAAAUUAAUAAUUGAUAGAUUGAUAACCUUGAUUAAAUAAUAGUUUUUCAAUUUUGACUUGGGAGCAAUGUGGUAAAUUAAUAAUUCGAUAAAUUUAUUAGAUAAUAAAAAAAUUUUUAAAAAUAUUAUCAAUUAAUUCAUAAAUUAAUAUUAACUAAUUUAAAACUAAAUGCAUAUUUAAUAUGUCUAUGAUUUUCUUUGUUGUACUAUUAUAAUGCUUUAUGCAUUUCAUCUGUCACAAUUGCUUUUUUUUUUUAUAUACUUUUCAAAUAAAAAGUCAUUGUUGUAUUCUAUAUGCUACGUCAAGAGAAAUAAGAGAGAUGGCUUAAUAUAUUGCCUUCAAAUGUCUUCUUUGAUGAGUUACCAUGUAGUUGUGAUCUAACCAUACAAUCUAACCAAAAGAUUAUCACAGGACUAGUUCACUCAAUCAAGAACAAAUAAAAACUAUAUUAUAUAACUUGACGAAAUCACUAUAUUCUCUAAUUAUACUACAUUUACACUUCAUAAAAACUCCUAUUAUGAAUUGUUAUUAUCUUUAUAAAUUAAUGGUUAUUAAUUUAUCAAUGUAUUAAUAUUUACUAAAUUAAUAUAUUUUAAAUGAUCCAAAAGCUGUUAAUUUAUCAAGGUCAUACUAUCAUGUGCUUUAUAUAUAUAUAUAUAUAUUUUUUCUCAAGUAUCACCAGCUAUUUAUUUCCAUUGUGGAAGUUUCGGUAACAGUGGUGGGAGAAGGUGGUUGGAAUUUGUGAAACUGUUUUUGUGUUUUUUGUUUUAAUGAAUUUUUAUUUUCUAAUAAAGAUAAUUAUAUAAAGGGAGAUUGCCAAUUUCCCCCCUACAGUAAUUAACAUAUACUAUUUACUCCCCUUCUUUUUUUAUAAUGGCCAAAAUUCCCACUGACAGUAUAAGUUUACAAUAUUAUCCUUAUUUUUAAUUACUCUUUUAUUUAUAUUUAUUAUAAAUUAAAUAAAUUACAUGAAUAGAAAUUAAAUAAAAAAUUAAGCAUUAAAAAAAUAUAUAUGUUUUGAUAUGAGAAAAAAAUUAAUAAUAAAUUUUUUUUCUUGUACUUAUUUAUUUUGUGAAAAUUUUCUUAUAAUAAAUGUAUAAGAAAGUUAUUAUAAAAUGAUUAAAAAAUUAUUAUAAGAAAAUUUGAAUGACAAAUAAAAAUUUAUUAUAAGAUAAAUAAUAAAAUAUUUUGCCUAUACUUUUUAAAUUUAAUUUUAAAAUAUUACAAAAUUUUUAUUAUAAAAAAUGUUCACAAAAUAAAUAAUUACAAGAAAAAAAACUUAUUAUUAAUUUUUUUGCUCAUAUCAAAACAUAUAUUUCUUGUUUUUAAUACUUAAUUUUUUUAUUUAGUUUCUAUUCAUGUAAUUUAUUUAAUUUAUAAUAAAUGUAAAUAAAAGAGUAAUUAAAAAUAAGGAUAAUAUUGCAAACUUAUGCUGUCAGGGGAGUUUUUGGCCAUUAUAAAAACAUCAGGGGAGUAAAUGAUAUAUGUUAAUUACUGUAGAGGAAAAAAUGGCAAUCCCCUUGUAUAAAUAACUGCAGUUAAUUGAAAAGUGGGGAUUAAUAAGAAAAAUUAAGAGAUUUAGAUAGCAUUGCUAUUUAAACAAAAAAAAAAAGAAAAAGAAAUUAAACAGAAAGAAGAAAUAAUUAACCAUCCCCGCUUUAAGUAUCCUUGAAUACCCUUGAAUAUCUUUCGCAUAUUUCGGGUUAAGUAUUUUACUUCACGUGAAAGUGUGAUUGGGCUUGGACAGAAAUCCAUUUUAAAUGCAAAUUACCCCUCUAAUUAAAUAAGAAGUGCUUCAGUACGCUCUUCAAAACAAAUAAUACCAUAAGCAAUUAAUUCUAAGCGUAUAUCAAAUCCACGGAAGCAGUAAUUCGCUAUGAACAUUCCCAACAUAAUUAAUUGGCUUCAAGUGACAAGCAUAAAGCCAGAAUCAGUGAUCAUUCUCGGAUAUACAAGAAAAGAAUGCCAUGUAAUGUACUGAUAAACACAUAAAUGUCAUGAUGAGGGUACGUCUACGGGGUUGUGGGCUUCAAUAUCCACGUGCCGUAUGCCAGGAACGAGGUCCUGGAUCUCCUUCUCUAGUCUAUCAACUUCAGUUCCUAAAGCUGUAACAACUUCCUCGCCUGCACCAAGAACUCGAUGUUUAAAACAUUCCAAGCACAAUUCAAGUUAUACAACAAACUGCAUGCAUACCAUAGUUUGACAUGAUUUUAAGCAAGGCUGCGUCGUCCUUCUCCUUUGCAGCUUCACGAAACUGUCAUCGGAGCCAGUCGGACAGAUAGAAAUAGUUAAUGAUAUUAACUUGUGAAGUAUGGCAUGUGUCAAUUCAACAAGGGAGUUGGAAGUAAAAUAUAUGCACGUAAUGAAUUUGUAAGCGUUAGGACUCGCAAAGUUAAUAGUUACCAAAACAUUGGACUGUAUCAGUUUCUAAUAUGCAUGUGAUACAUUUCAAAAUAAGAAUGUGAAGUAAUAUAAAGUACAGACUAAGAUGAUUAACCUGUUUGGCCCAAGCUUCACGUCCGGUUCUCUUUAGAUAAUUCUGUACAACCAUCACUCCGUUGAAAUCUGUUUCAAUUCAGCCAAACAUAAUCGUAUCAUAUUAAUACACCACUAAUGCCAAAUUAAUUCACAUUAAUGAAACUAAAUUUCAUGAGUGGCAUAGCUGAAUAAUGCCUGCUUCUUUCCACUUUCAAUACAUGAUUAAAAUGAUUUCUUAUCAUUACACAUAAAGUUUGCAUCUAUGUAGGCAAUUAAUCAUCACAAAUAUAUGCUGUGUACUCCAUAUUAUCUAUAUGAAUUUACAAAUGCCAAAGCAGCUCAUAUGGAUUGUAAACUAAGAAUAUUAUCAGAGAAAUUCACACCUCUUUACAGAAACAACAAGCUACUACUCUUGCAAAGAUUUCUACAAAAAUGUAGAUACCAAAUGUAACAGAGACGACAUGUUGUUGACAAUAAUCAGAUAUUGAUGUUGACAGAAAUUAACUCUCUGACAAAUCAGCAAAAGUACGAGCUAACACAGGGAAGAUUGGAAACAUUGACAGAUAUAUUGAUUUUAGAAGGAAAUUCAGGAAACGAAGUUCCAAGAAAAAUAAAAUUGCAGUAGGACAUGGCAAGAAAAAUCACCUAUCUCUGCCUUGAAUCUAAAGAAUCCCGGUCCAAUCACCUCGCUUUUGCAAUCAUAUAGAGCAUCUACAACCUGCCAAAAUUUUAGAUUUUCAAACAUGGGAAUAAUGCACAGAACAAAUGUAGUCGUAGACUUAUCUUACAUGAACAUACCGGAUCAUUUUUCAAGAAAUGGAGAAUCUUCUCCAUAUCAUGGUCAUCCAUAGCCCUACCAAUCAAAGCAUGACGAUUCCUUUGUAUUAGAAAUAUAGCCACCUGCAUAGGAGAUACAGUUCAUUACCUAUAACAAUAGUCAAAAUUUUAUUAGUUGUUCUCUUGUCAAUAUAAUAUACUAAACAGCGAUAAGAACAGUCAAAUCUGAUGACAGUUCCAAGAUAAGCCUGACCAUCAGAUAUUAUUGAUAAAAGAACAGUAAUUUCUGCAUGGCCAAUUCAUUAUUUAGAGCAUCAUUCAAAGUGCAGCAAGCAAUCUUGCUUUUGCCACUAUUCCUCCUCUUCUACUCUAACUAAUAAUACAAAACAAGCCAUUUUCAUAUUUUCAUAUUCAAAAUUUCUAAUUUUAAUAGCCAUUGGGGCUUAAAUUUACAAUUAAACAGAUUCCUUCAACCAGCUCUUUUAAUCACACUUAUCACUUUCUGUAACAAUCUUAGUUACCAUUUUUGGGAGCCUAUCUCCAAAUUCAAAUAAUCAGUAAAUGUAUAAAUUCCAUAUUCAUACAGAUAUAAUUUUUUUUUUUCAAAAAUGCAUUUUAUAUUUUAAAGUUUUUUCUUUCGAGUUACCAUGCAGCCACCUGAUCUCACCGUAAAUUAAACUAAAUCCCUCUCCAAAGUUGGUGUGAGUAGGAUUCAAACUUUUCACCUCUUCAUUUCACUAACAGGCCACGAGGCCAAACUAGCUGGAGUGUUCCCUUGAGGACUUCGUACAGAUCUAUUCAUGAGAUCAAUAAAAACUAAAAACAUAAAUGAGCAGUAGAAAACGGAAUUGAGAAACAAGGAUCCUGUUUCAGUAAGAUUUGAACUUAAAAGCAACCCAAGCUGCCAAUCUUUCUGUAGCUUGAAGCAGCAUGGCUGAAUGGUGAGGUACCAUAUGACAAAGCAUACAUAAGUCAUCAUAUAGCAUUCUCUAUUUUUGAAUUGUCAAUUCUUUGAAAUUGGGUACCUAUUUAAAGCUUGGAAGAAGUUGGUUGAAACUUAACAAAAGAACCCUUUCCUUUAAGGGUUGAUAAUACAUUUUCAGAAAGGUCCAAGAUGUCUCAGCUGAUGCCAUUUUCUCAUUGAUUUCUGAGUGACAGAACUAUAAUGCAUGUCUCAGAGAACCAAUUACUUUUAGAAAGUGCCUUUUCCUUGCUCCAAAUGGUAAAAUAAGAGCACAUUAGAAGUUCACAUGAUACAAUAAAACUUCUCUAUAGUAAUACUCUGUAUAAGAAUAACCUUCAUAUAGUCAUAAAAAAUUAUUAUCCCGAUUUGGGCCAGUUAUAAAAAAAAAUAAAGUCCACAUUGUAAUAAGUUACAAUUUUCUAAAUCCUAUUCUAAGGACAUUACCUCUAUAUAGUAAUAAUUAACUGAAUAUUCUAAAAAUAUAUAUACUAUACAACAUUAGAGGUUUUAGAUGGAAAAAAAAAAAAAAACUUUCUAAAGUUGUUAAGGGCAAUAUUUAUUUAGAUUCUUAAGAUUAUUUUGCAUAUUUUCCAGCAUUACAGAAAUUUUAUGUACUAGUAUUUUGAAAUUAUGUCUCCCUCUUUUAUCAAAGUCUAUAAAUUGGAUUUGACAUGCCCAUUAACUAUAUUAUCAAUAUAGUGUGUGUUUUACCUCUAUAUCACUUACACUAAGGAUAAAUGAGUCAAAAUAAUAAUUUUUGUAACUACACCUCUGUUAAGUUAUAACCUCAUAGUAAUAAAUUAGUUUGGUCCCAACAUUGCGACUACAAAGAGCUUUUACCGUACUAUCAUGUGGAGAUUUCCAACCUCGGGACUUUCUAAUGCAUGUAUAAGUGAAUUAAUUAUUUUGGAAAAAAAUAAUACCAUUCCAAGAAGGUUUCCAACUAUAAUUGAACCAAUUGGGUCAUAAAUUGCAUUUCCUGUGACAUUAACUGCAAUCAAUGAUGCUCCAGCUAUAACAAGGCCGGUAACUGCAGCACCAUCCUGCAUAACAGAAAUCAUUUAUUAGGGGUCCCAGACAAGGAGAAUAGUUGCAAUGUAUAUAUAGUAUCAGACAUAACUAGAGAACAAAUUAUCAGCAAUCAACCAAAAUAUAUUUUUUUUAAUUUGAAUUGCAAUAUGUAGUUAAUUGCAGUAAAGAUGAUUAGGGACAUACACGGCUAUACAAAGAUUCACAAACAAUGUGCACACACAUGGUAGGAGGAUGAAUUGUGUACAAUUGCUUAUCUAAACUAACAGUGAAGAAUACACAAUAAAUACCUCUGUCAUAACAGCAACAGAUGUAGGGUCAUGACCACGCCAGAUAUAGUCUCUUAUUGUCAUACCUUCUGCAGCUGCUCCUUUCUUGACAGCUUGUAUCGCAACAACAAGAGAAGCACCUGUAGGAAAGUAUAACGAACUUAAAUCAGGAAAAGACGAAGAUCAAAAGGUAAAAACUAGCCUCUUCAGACCAUGUUGUUAACCUAAAAUCACAGUCUGUGAGCUAUACCUUCAAUGAUAAAUGAACCACAAAUCACCAAAGCUGCAUAUUUCAUAUUUUCAGGAGCCUGUAGAAAAAACACGCAAAACUAUAUAAAUAUGCGUAUGUUAAGGUACCACAGAAUAUUUAGAAUUUUGGAUGACAUAAUUUGUUUCAUUACCUCUGCAGUCCACAAGUGUUGAAUUCCAUUGACAAUUGUAGCACCAGAACCAAGACAAAAGAUCCCGACAGCUGAUAUCAAAGACCAAACAAAUCGUUCCUUGGAAUAGCCAUAACUGUACAAUUGGGGGGAAAAAAAAGUAAAUCAAUUCAGUGCAUUCUUAUAACAAAAAUAACACCUACGUCUUCACUCUAAACAUGAAUGAAAAUUUCUGUCUCCAUGGAGUAAAGUUUAAAAAAUAGAAAGCACUAGUGUCCUUUGGCUAACGUACUCAAAAAAAAAAAAAACAAAUUGCAAAACAUAUGUAGCCUGAAAUCCAGAAACAAAUUUAUACAUGAGAUGAAGUGCUGAAAGAUUGAAAAACAAGGAAAAUGCAGGCGAUUUAUUGUAAAUGAUGAUGGCUUAUGAUGUAGAAAACUUACGGAUGAAGAGCAUCAGGUGCACGCCUGGAGCUACUCAGACCAUAAGCUAGAAGCACCUGCAAUUUUAAUAAGAAUUAUUUUCUCUGCAAUGAGUAAUAUAUGAGUUGAUUUAAUUUAAAGGAAGAAAGAAAACACGUGCAUCUGCUAGCCUCGUUCCGAAGAACCUUCAAGACAAGUACCUGAUUAGCAAAGUCCGCAACCGAAUGCACAACUUCAGCCAGCAUAACAUGGCUAGAGGUCCCUAGCCAGACCCCAAACUUGAGAGAGAAGACAAGGAAAUUGCCCCACAAUGCAGUCGUAACCGCUCUUUGACUAUAUACAGAUUUGAGGAGACGAUAAUAGCAAGAAACAAAUCAGAUAAGUUUUAAGGAAAAAAAGAGGACAAAUAUAACAGUAUUCAGCACAUUCAUGUUAGUAAUACAUGGCAGUAAAAUAUAAUACAGGAUAGCAAAAGAGAAGCACCAGCCAUCUUGUGUAUACAACCAGAUCAGAUUGAUCAUAACCAUGUUCAAUGUUAGUAAUUUAUUUCUUCUUGCAAUUAUUAGGAUGGUCUUUUUUCCAGUUAGUUUCUUUAAAUAAAUAUAUCAUUUCAAUCGGUCAUUGUCUGGUAGACAAACAAUACCAAAGAUUAAAUUAUUGUUUAAGUUCUCAACUAAACCUGUUUAUCCUCUUAUCACCUAUUUCCCAGUAACAUAACAAACACAGGAAUACUUACAAACAACCAAAUUUACUCUAAUAGUAUUUGAACCAUGAUGUUCUAUGGCAUAACAAGAUUAAACAGUGAUGCAUAAAAAAGGCACGGACUAAGCAUCAGCAUCCACAGAAAUUGACAUUAUCAACACUUGUUGGUACAAGCACAGGUUCCAAUUCUUGUCAGAGUGCAUGCAUCUCAAAUCAAUUGGCUAAAGAUUAAUCAGAAAACUAAACAAUAGGAGGAUCCCAAUCCCUUCUUUUCCCAUGCUAGAGUUGUAAAAGAUGCAUUUUUCAAGUCUUAUUCAACUAUAAAAAUGCCCACCAGAUGCAUUUUCCAAGUCUCAUUCAACUAUAAAAAUGCCCGCCUUUUACCAAAUUAGGAAUGAAAGCAGGCUCUAUCAAAUGCCUCGUUCUUCAAGAUACUAUUUGAUUGGAAAAAUUCCUCAAACACACAUUUCCUACAGUUCUACCAGCAUUUUUAUUGUGAAGAAUAACGUCAUUAACAAAGACACUCGGUACUGUUCCUAUUGCAGAAUGCAUCCAUGAAGAGAACUUUUUCUUUCUUUAGACGAAUACCACUUUUACAAGGUUGUUUACACAGUAAUGUGCUGAAUGAUUUGCAUCUAUAAUGUUAGUUGUCACAACAUUCUAUCUAGAUGAUUGCAACAAAUCAAUUGCCAAUUGAUAAAAAGGUCAAUAGAAAAGUAGUUUAUCAGACUCCUUUGCCAAAUUAACAAAUGUGCCUAUUACUCUUAUCUCCCUCCUUUUUUUCUCUUCAUAUUUGAACGUUAAACAUUAUCAUGCUUCUGAGAAUUUCAUUUCCAAAAGGAAAAAGUUUAAAAUAAAUAAAUAAAUAAAAAAACUUAUCAUCACUCAUUUCAACUACAUUUACCAUGUCCAUACUUGUUUCCCAAUUAUAACCAAUUAGCGCACUUCAUAAACCUGAGUGCUACUAACGCCACCACAACAUUGAAACACACUGGAGCUUAAAUAUCAUUCUACAAUCCUUUAACUAUCAACGUGGACUUUUGAAAGAGUGGGAAAUCAAUCAUCUCAUAACACCCAAUACUAUUGCCAAAUUAUAAAUUUAUGCCCGUAUUCACAAAAAAGGAAAAUAAAUGCUCGAAGAAACAACACAUUUAGGCGACAGCUUCAAAAAUUUUACCUGUGUUCAUCUGUAGUCUCAAUCUUCUUCACCUGCUUUGCCCUCGUAAAAAAAUCUAUAAUAAUUAAAAAAAAAAAAGCACACAUACACACACAAACACACACACAAAGUUAGGCCCCAAUUCACAUUUAAAUCCCAAAAGAAAACAAACAGGCAAAAACAAAAUACUUACUGCGAUUAGAGGAGUACUUAUGAUGUUGAUUACUACCGCUAUUGUCAAAAGAAACCAAACCCAGUAGAACGAAACGUUUCGAGCAAUGAACCGAGCAAAAACCUCGAAACUGAUUAGUAUGCUCUAAAAUGCUAAAGAAUUUUCCAUUGUUAUCAUUUAUAAAUACAUUAAAGGGAGAAGAAGGGUUUAAAACGGCAGUGCGUUUAGAGGAGUGGAGGAGGCGAGAGAGGAAACGCCAAGAUGUUCGCAUCAAAUCUAAAUCUUUUCUUUCUUUCUUUUUUUUGGCUUAAUUAAGAGAAAUUCUGAUAUUGUUCUAAAUUCCCCCAAAAUGUUCGAGAUGUUAAGUACCCACAUUCAUAUCGAGGGUUGAAAUGGAGUUGGUAUAAAGAAAGCUCAAAGAUGAAAGGGAUUCUUGACUUGAUAGCAGUAGCAGCAGCAGCAGCAGCAUAUUCCGUCUUCUAAAGAAGAAAAGAAGGUGACUGUCUGCGACUGAAUAUUGGGAAUGAGAAAGUAAAGCAGGGACAGUGGCAGCGGGUGGUGGAUGCAAAAAUUUAGCCCAAGUUAUUUUUGUAGCCCAAAUAGCCAAUUCACUUUUUUGGACUACGGGCUAAAUAAAAUUUACCCAAAUCAUAUAUAUUUUCUAAAUUUAUGUAAGAUUUCAAUAGAAUAUAAACAAAUUUUCUAAUCUCAAUAUUUAAUUAAUUAGGGUCAUUAAUCCAUAGAUUUCUUCAACUCCAAGUAAGAAGUACUUGUACCUUUUAGGCUUUUAGCUCAAUUCUUCAUAAUCGCUAGUAGGGACUAAAAUAUUAAAUUAUAAUCCUCGGAAGCUUAGGAUGGAUAAACCAAACAGUACUCUUCUCAACCGGUAGCAAACUAACCCUAAUUAAAUCACAUUUUUAUUUAUCUGAGGUAAUAGAAUUGUCUGGUAGGAAUUUAUGACGUGCAGUUUCGUUUUAAAACAACUACCUAAUUGUUUGUCAUUUUUGCAAACUAAAUACACACAUGAAUGAGGUGACAUAUAAGAUAUCCAAUAAAAAAAUUUAUAGUUCUUUUACAAAAUAAUAAUAAUAAUAAUAAAUAAUAAUAAUAAUAAUAAUAAUAAUAAUAAUAAUAAUAAUAAUAAUAAUAAUAAUAAUAAUAAUAAUAAUAAUAAUAAUAAUAAUAAUAAUAAUAAUAAUAAUAAUAAUAAUAAUAAUAAUAAUAAUAAUAAUAAUAAUAAUAAUAAUAAUAAUAAUAAUAAUAAUAAUAAUAAUAAUAAUAAUAAUAAUAAUAAUAAUAAUAAUAAUAAUAAUAAUAAUAAUAAUAAUAAUAAUAAUAAUAAUAAUAAUAAUAAUAAUAAUAAUAAUAAUAAUAAUAAUAAUAAUAAUAAUAAUAAUAAUAAUAAUAAUAAUAAUAAUAAUAAUAAUAAUAAUAAUAAUAAUAAUAAUAAUAAUAAUAAUAAUAAUAAUAAUAAUAAUAAUAAUAAUAAUAAUAAUAAUAAUAAUAAUAAUAAUAAUAAUAAUAAUAAUAAUAAUAAUAAUAAUAAUAAUAAUAAUAAUAAUAAUAAUAAUAAUAAUAAUAAUAAUAAUAAUAAGAGUAAUUAUUAAGAGUGGUGAUAUUUGACCUCCUCAAUUUAUCUCAUCAGUCCUCAUUUUUCAAUUAAUAUUAUUUAUUUUAUAAUUGGCCUUACUAAAAAAAAUAUCUAUUAUUUCUUCUCUCAAGUUCUCCAUUGAUUCACAAUUUGAAUCAAACGCUAACUCAUAAUCAAAUCCCAAAUAGAAAAUUAAACAAAAUCUUAAAUUUCUAUACAAAAUCAUAACCAAUAUUAGUAAUAAUAACAAAACCUACCACUUAUUCAUAAAUUUUAAUAAAAUCCAAUGAUGAAACUCAUCGUAUACUAGUAAAGGUGAUGUAUUAAUAGUGAAGAAGGUAGGCGGUGAUGGCAACUUCUUGUUGAUCAAGUGUUGGGGGUGAUGGACCGAUGGUUAUGCACUUAUACUAGAGAAGGACGGGGUUUGGGGGGAGGUAGAGAGAGAAUAAAAUAAAAUAAUAACUUUGAUUUAUUAAGGAUAAUUUUAAAAAGUAAUAAGAUAAAUUGAAAAGUGGAGGUUAAUCAGAUAAUUUGAAACGCUCAAAUAUAUUCACUUGAUAUUAAUAACUUUCUCAAAAUAAAGGAUGGUAGAAAAAUUCAGUCCGAACUUUAGUAUUUCGGGCCGGAUUUGGCCUCAUAACUCGAGCAUGUUUUCUUAACACUAGAUUCGAGCUUGAACUUUACCUAAACAACCCAACCAUGGCCCGAAGGCUGAAGAAAUUCUUAAAAAAUUAUUUUAAUUACAAUACACCUUUUAAAAUAUAUUUAACCCAUCUAUAUAGCAUAUAUUUUAAGUACUUUAAUCCCAAUUUUUAAAACCUAAUCUAACAAAAAGAAAAAUUUUUAUAAACUGUAAGUUUGUAAAAUUUAAUUAAAAAAAUAGAAAAAAAAGUAGAAUAUAAAUUUCGGACUUUUUAGCUCGAUGCAAAGAAAAUCCAAUUUGAAUCGAGGUCGACCUGACAUGGCUGCCAUCCCUACUCAAAAUCCUAAAUGCUCCAAUUUCCAUACCGCAGUCUCCAUUUAACCUCGUUUAUCUUCUUAUUCAUUCGUGUUAGAUAUGUGAAGAAACCCCAAGGCAAGGGCCGUCCAGGACCAAAACCGCUGCCUAUAUUACGAGGCAACCUGCACUAGUUGACUGAUGGGUUAACCAGUUACCACAUCAUGUGUUCUUAUAAAAUUAAUCAACCAAUAUGGUCCUAUCAUUUAACCAACAGCUUGUAAACAUGUGAGAUUAGCGAAAUAUGAAAUAAAAGCUAACGCCAAAAUCAUCACCAAUGAUUAUGCAAUGGGGGGAGAAUCCUGAAUGUUUUAAAAAUCAGAGCAUUUCGAAGGUUCUUUUAUUUUCUAUUGCCUUUAAAAAGGCAACCACUUUGAGAUGCGUCCAUGUGGCUCAGGAAGAAGGAUAUGUCCUGGGAUAUCAUUUGCUAGCGCAAGUAUCGAGCUUGUCCCUGCUCAUUUGUGUCAUUUCCAGGCAAGAUUGAACCUAAAGAGCUUGAUAUGAUAGCGAACAACGGGGACCAAAAAUCUGCUUGCUAUUGCUACGCCUCGCAAUAUCAGUAAUAAGACCAAAGAUAAACUUUACAACACUGCAUUAUCAGAAAACUAGAAUGGUAAACCAUGUAUCAUUAAUUCAAGCUUUAGCAGUGACUUGCAAGGAGGUGAUGAAAAAGCUCAAGGCAUCUCAAAUAUUCUUAACAAAAAGUUACAGAUUGGUAUCACCUCGCUGUUUAAUAACAGGUUGGGUCAGAACUCAAAACCCAUAUUCCUGUGAAAUAAUAAUAACAGUUGGCAAUAUCUAUAUACUCUAUGCUACAUAUCAAUCACCUUAAGUUCUAUUCAACAUUUUUAUCAUAGGGUACAACAUUUCCUAUCAGCUGAAGCAGAGAGAAUCUGUUAAAGUCGCAUAGUUUGCCGAAAAGGGAACAGCAGAAUUCAUCAGGCUCUGGAUCUGAUUUCGAGUACACCAACUUUCUAACUCUCUCUGGCUCUUCAUCUGAUCAGAGCCUGGAAUUAUCAAAUUUGUUCAACCAAAAAUAGAUAACAGCUAAUGAAUCCUGAUAUCAUCAAUGAAUCGACCUCCCUUUCUACCACGUAACCUGAUAUUUGGUCUAUGCUGGCCAUCCGAUCUCCCAGAGAUCUCUCCAUCAUGUUGGGUCACAAUUUUUAAUGGGUGGGCUUCUGUAUUGAAAACCCACUCAUCUAAUGAGAUCACUGUUGUGGGAGAGAAAAGAAGAUACAGAUAUUUCAGUGUCUCUGCAAGAAAGAAGCUUUGCAUCAUGUUGUCUUUGUCGCCAGUAUUAACCUGAGAAAACACAACAAUCAUUCAUAAAUAAAUAAGAGCACAUUAGCAGUAUAAAUAAGAGCACAUUAACAAAUCCACCGGCAAGGAUAGAUAUGCAGAAGAAAUAGAAAAAUAUACAACAGAAGAUUGAAUAACCAAAACAUUUAAAAACAUUUUCACCGUUUUUUACCAAAUGUUGGCUCAUAAAUGACCUUAUAGAUUGUCCCAAGAUUUAGCUAAGUGUCUGCCAAUGGCAAUUGCUUUUGUGUAUAGUUAGCAGACUAUGCUCACUAAUGCAAACAACUAUUUAAAACAAAAGAUCAAACAUUCUUUACUACUGAGGUUUAACCGUCAAAGAUACUAAGAGAAGUGCAUUUUCUAAAAAAGCAUCCCUAAGUUUUGUAUCACGUCAGCUUUUUCAUGAAAACAUACUGAAGCAUAUUUAUAGAAAAAUAUCUUAUUUAAUGUUGGAGGUUUGAGGUGUCCUUACAUCUUUCAGUCCAACAUAUCCUGAUUCUAUUCGCGAGUUCUUUUCGAAUGCCUGAAAUAUGUUCCAACCCCACUCUUUGUAUGUCUUGUUGCCAGUUAGACGCCACAAGUAAAAAAGUGAUUCAACAGUCUCAGGUCGCAGUAUGUUCCAUGAUGUGCCCACAGACAUGUCCUGAAAAUGUAACAAAUGAACACUGGUAAACAGCAGUACCUUAAAAAUUGAAAAUUCAUUUGAUAAUACAAAAACUACAAACCUGCCCAUCACGAAAGAAGUAAUUCUCUCCAGCCAAUUUUGUCGGUGUUGACUGGUAGAAGUUAUAACAUGUCCAAGCAAGCUGCAAAAAAAGACAGAAACAUCCAGUGAAAAACCCAUCUCACAUCAUCCUUGGUUUUGAUAUGGGAAAGAAGGAACAUGCACUAGAAGCUAAUGAAUGGUUAGGUCAGCAAUCCAAAUUAAAUUACAUUUCAAAUUAAAAAUUUUGGUUCUGGUUUAUUCCUUUAACUAGUGGCCUACUAGGAAAAGAAAAGAUUAACCAAGUAUGAGAUUCAUACAAAACCAUCUCGGUCUUAUACCCCAAACAAAUCAGAUCAUCUCCCAACUUCCAUAUGUAUCUGGUAAAUCUUGCAUUCAAUCAGAGAUUUGUUAAUAUUUUUCUCUUUCCUCCUCAACCCAAAUUAAAAAUCUCUCCUUGGAAUUGAACACUUGACCUUUUGCUUCCCAUGUCAGAGGCCAAACCAAUCGGCAAUAAGAGACAUACACCAACAGACACACAUAUUUUAUGUCCUUCUAUCAUUUUUUUAUUAAGAAACAGAAACUUGAAUUAUAUUCUAAACAAUGUGAGGUUUACAAAAAAGUGAACAAGCAGUCAAAAAAACCAGGAUCAGCCUGGCAGAACCUCAAAAUCUAUUUACAAAGAACCUUUCCACUCAAGCCAAAGAUAAAACACUCUUGACUAUAAAAAUCAAGACGAUAUUCGACUUAGCCCAAAACACUUCCCAAUUUGAACUUAUGUAAAAGAAAAACGGGUCCUAAAAUUCUUGUCCGUGAUGCCCAAAGAAAAAAAGCACCCUAAAUUAUUGCCUUAUCCCAUAAAACAGUUAACCAUCUUCCCCAGCCAAGCUUUCAAAAUCAUCUUUUUUCCCCCGUGUUUCUAGAAAUUCCUUUGACUUCAAUAACCUAUCAGUCUUAGUAGACAAUUUGGUACCCCAGAUGCUUCGUCCAAACAAAAUUCAGGUAUUUAUGAUCAGAACUUCAUUCAAUUUUGAAAAUCUUCCCUAGAGCUUUCAAAAAUUUGUCCAUUUCUUUCUUGAAAUUCCUUUGAAAUGUUUAACAACCUAUCAGUUUCAAAGUCAUGGGUAAUUUGGUAAUCCCAGAUGAUUCUUGCCAAACAAAAUUCAUAUAUAUGUGAUCGAAACUUCAUUCAAUUUCAAAAAUCAUGUCAUACGGUAACUUAAAAGGGUACCUUAAAAUUGGAGGUGAAGACAUUGCAUUAUUCAUCACAACUUAUAUGAGUUCACAAAACAAUGUUCUUUUUUCUUGUUCUUGCACAAAAUUUGGGUAUUAAGAUAUUUUCCGAAGUGAGACAGAAGGAAUACCUCUUCUGCAAGAGAGAGAAAUUUCUCAGAAUCACCGGGUCCAUAACCAGAAGAUCCUAAAGCAAUCAUUCCAGGAGCAAAGCAUGCUAAUUCAUCCAUCUGCAUAGGCAUGGUGUCAAAAUAGCCAUCAAUAUCUAGCAAUUACUAAUGCAUCCCUACAGUAGUGUAACUGAGUAUUACCUUGUCUAUCAGCGAGUCCCCAUUCUUCUCACAAACGUAUGUAAAAGACGAUGGUGUUGAUUUCCUAACCAAGCUUAAUAGACCUUUCAUUGAUGUCUCCCACAUGUCCCUGCUUGAAAGAUUCCACAACAAAACUUUGACAUCAAGAAAUUUAUGAGCACAGACACCUGGAUACUAGAGAGAGAAAAAGGUUGAGUCUUGACCAGAGCACGAUUGCAGACACUUUAAAUAUUAAAACAUGAUAUCCAUCCUGCAUUAGUUGUCAUUUGUUCUUCUUUUUUUUCAGUCCCAGUAAUUUUCCACACUGAAAUGUGAAUUCUACCAGACUCAUUAUCCUAAACGUGUACCAUUGUAAAGAUUUUUUUUUUAACAUUUCAGAAUUAGAAAGUGGUAGCUACUAUUGGAAAAAUAAAAGUAUAUUGUAAUGCAUUUGUAACUGACUCCUUAAUUUGUUGGCUUUAUCUGAGAAGACAGCUAAAGUGUAUGGAGCUGAAUAUAUAUUCCUUUUCACCAAAAUCCCAGUGAAAAUAGAAUCAUUUAAUAUUUAAUCACAUUGACCAGUCCAGCCCCCAUCACAUCUAAAUUUUACAGUAGCAUGUUUGUCUUUGGCUUUCACAUAAGAAAAUAAACUGCAAACAGCAAGCAGCAGUGGUUGAGUGGUUGCAGAUCUGAAUGCAGAUACAUAUGAGAACAAAAUCUCCUCACCUAUAAGGCUUCACUGCUGAAGUUUUAUUCCCCUGAAUCCAAACUUUGAGUAAAUAUUCAUAAAAGCUGCAAUAAAAUUUCAUUGUUAACCAAAAACUCUUAACAAUCUUGCAAAAUUAUACUCCUUUACUGACCUUAAGAAGUGAAACUAGAAAGUAAAAGAGGUUAAAUCAUAGAUGAUGAAAUGUUAAACCCAACUAAGAUCACAUAAAUGAUAGUAAAUGUUCAAGCGGAGAAUACCUAUCACCCAUGGCACCAAAGGUUAUGGUCGAGUAUGAUGGAGUUCCCCUGUCAGGACUAAUAUAGAUGGGAAGCAGGCCAUCGGCAGGGAAUGUUUUAUUAAGCUCCACUAUUACUUUCUCAGCCUGAAACAUCAGUUUGCAACCAUCAACAGGAUCCAUUCACCCGAACAAAUCAUUCUUCAGAAAGAGAAGUGAACUAUUGACUGAUUACUCCCUGAACACUUUUGGUCUUCAAACUAACCUCUUAGUGCAUACGAAUAUGAAUAAUUAGCACUAAUUUGUAAGAUGUCAAACAUUAAGUGGCAAGUUCAAACACAAGAAUGAUGAAUAACAUAUUUCCACAUGCAUAAACACAAGAAGAUAAAAUACCUUCUGCCGAUACUUUGGGUCACCCGUCCUUUGUGAAAGAGCAAUCAAUUCUAGUUGUUCUGUACCAGAAUCUGCCAGAAUGCUCUCACCCUAUGAAAUGGGAAAUGACAGAAGAGCAAUCAAAUCAAAGAUACAUUCGUUAACAAAUGUGUGGGACAAAAGACCCAGCACAGCUCAAUAAGACACACAUGAGCUAUCACAAAGGAUAAAACAAUCUACUAAGAGACUAGUGUAAACUAUGUUAUGCAUGAUAAUGGAACAGGUUUACAACAAGAGUCCGUGGCAUUUACUUUUAGCAGUUAACUGUCAAAGCAACAGAAAAUGCUGAAAGAAUAGAUGGAAGAAACUUUUUGAAGAAAGACAGAAAGCUGUAAACUUGAGAAGAACCACAUUUAUUUUAAGCCAACCAAAUACCUGCUGAUCUAACAGCAGGCCAGGAGCUUCUGUUGGGAUAAAGGGAAACGUAAAUAAAAAGAGCAUAAUCAACUUAAAGGAUGCCAUGAAAUGUGACGAAUCAAGUUUAAAUAGUACAAAUAAAGUGAACGCUAGAAGUUAAAGCUAACAACUUACCCCUGUCCAUGAAGGGUUAUGUGGAUUUCCAUGUGCUAAGUUAAUAACAUUAUAGGGAAUUCCAGUGCGAGUAUUCCAUGCUGGCAACAAUCUAUCUGCAAUAUCUCUAGCUUUUUCAAGAAAAACUUUGUCUCCUGAAAGGUCAUAUGCACUAAGAAGUCCACCUACAACUCUAAAAUAUCAAAAAAGAAACAAGUCAGCAAAGGAACAUUACUUGUCCUUUCCCCAAGCAAUUAUAAAGAAAAGAAAACAGCAAUUGCCACUGACACUUGUUUCACAAAAUAAAAUCAACCAUGAAUUAAACCUGAUAACGCAACCUUAUGGUUGUCUCGAAAACACUAGCAUCAUAUGACUUGUUGAAAUCCAACGAGCUUGCAACCCACCUGCAAAAGAAUGGCAUUAAAAAAAUUAGAUAAGUGAGACUCAAAAUCUUGUGCUAAAGAAUGUGGAGGUUUUGAGUCCUCUUCAAGGCAUAAUAUUGAGAAUGCUCAUUCAAAUAUCACCAACCAUUGGUAUCCGGGAGACACAUUUAAUACUACAUAAACAUUAAGAGAUGAUGAAAAAACAGGGAGAAUUAUGCAUGGAGAAAGUGAGGGCAAAAAGAGAAUGAAAGAAAAGUGCCAGUAGGUCAAAUGAGGUUUGGAGUCGUGACACAAACUACAAAGCUAGAAAUACAAUAUAGGAAACACAUGAAGAAUAAUAUCUUCAAGCAUUAUGUACAACUUUUGAAAAUCAAACGCAUCCAAAAAACUUGCAAAAACAACCAGGAGUACGCAAGAGAACAUCUCAACUGGAUGACAAGAAACUACUAUCCUGUGAAAAAAUCGGGACAAAGUUCGAUUAAUUGGCUGGAUAAAUUGGGACAAACCAUUAACUCCUCAGAAGUGACUCAUAUAAGGCUGAGAGAAUUGUAGAACAUACCCAGGUUCAAAGGGACUCAAAUUUCAAAAUUGAGGCCACAUAAUGAAGUCAAUCAACUCAUUCGCACAUACACUAAUUUUAAAAGUAUGAUAGAUGCUUUGCUCAAGAAACUAUCUUGAAUAGAGUCACUUAACCAGGGCAAUAGUAAGAGAAUAGACAGACUUUUUGCAAUUUAAAUUGCAUGGAAUUCAACUUUCCUAAUGUAUAUAUCCUGAUCUCCAAUGAAUAAAAUAAGUUCAUAAGGAAAUAAGCAAUUUCAAAAUUGUUAGCCUAUUUCCUGUUUUUAAGUUGCAAUAGCUGCACUUAUUUAAUAAGGCAGUGUUUUUAGAGGUGAAGCAGUUACUACUUUGCUGAAUAAAUGGUCUAUAUUGUGCCAAUCAGUAAAUAAGUAGAAUUUAAGCCUUCAAUAAUUCAUCUGUUUUGAAAAGGAGCAGGCAAGGUCCAUUUUAAUAAGCCAUUUUAGAACAUAACUUUAAAAGCUUUAGACAAAACACUUUAUGUUCAAGGUUUUGCAAGAAUUGGAAUGAUGCAAUAGAAACAUCAAAGGGAAAUAGGAAAAAAUCAAUUUAAAGUGAAAGAGAGAAUCGACGAAAGGAAACUCACUCUCUAGCUCUUUGAAACUGUUCAUCCAGAUCCAUUAUGUAUAAUGUAUCCAGAGCAUCAAUUAGUGUUGCUCCAAGACCACCAAAGCUGUUGACCCCAUUCUUAGUCUGUGGCUGUUCACAAAAAUAAUGGGAGAAAUGAAAAGGUAAAAUUAUCAUGUUACUUCUAAGGCCAUAUAAAUAAAAUUCAUAUUGUAUGUAUAUGGAAACUAAAUUCAAACUUUUAAACAAUAAGCUAAGAGUUUGUCGACAAAUGAUAUCUGGCAAGUUCAGGAAUUGAUGCAGAACUCAUCUUAACAUUGGAUUUCAUUAUAAAGGAAGCAUGUACAACCAAAACUGAAAAAACCUAGUUUAUAAAGCAUUGGUGGUUUUCAAAUUGAAACAUUUUCCCUAAGCCUUUCCACGAUCCAGGCAGCACAAGAAAAAGUCCAAACAAUGCCUGUCAAGAUUUACAGUUAAACAUGUACUUAGAAGGAUCCAGCCAAAAAAAAAAAAAAAUCACCCGCUUUUUCCAAGCGGGAGAACAUAACUGUUAUUAUAAAAACAAAAUAAAAGAGAGAGAGAGAGAGAGAGAGGAAGAGAGAGAAUAAAACUAGUCCAGUAAUUCAGUGACAACAAUAUAUAUGAUGUAUCAAAAUUUCUCAUUUUUUGUCCAACAAAGUUCGGUUCUUCUCAGUUGGGUUGGGGUGGUUUGACCACAAAAUGCUAUGUUUACACACAAGACUACCCCUUUUCAUGAAAGCUUCACGGGGACUAGGGCUUUGGUCCAUCUCAGCUCUGCCCAGAAGGGCACUUACAGGCAUUUUAUGACCAGCCUUCAACAGUUUUUGAAAUCAGGCCCCGAUGGGGAAAUGAAGAUAUAAAAAAAACAAUGAAGUAAACUUCUCCACGCUAAAAAUAAGUGAAAGUAUUAGAAUAUAUGGUAUUAGCCAAUUCACUCACAAAAGAAUAAACUAGAGAAAUUUUUUGCAGUUCAGUGCUUUUUAUCAGCAAGCAAUCAUGUUUAGAAUUAAAUUAAAUUCCAAACAUUUCAACCCAUAAUUCAAGUUUCAAUCUUUUUUUCCCCCCGUUUGUGUCAAGUAAUGUUUUUAUUUUUAAUUUACAAACCAUGAUCGACAAGAUGUGUUUGUCGAACAUAAAUUCAGAGGAAAAAGAGUAGUCACUAAUUCUCCAAAAAAGCCACAUGGAAUAGAGAAGUUAACAAUUAAUAUAUCUAAUCCAUGUUAAUUUGCAUUAUCAACAGUAUAUAUCAUUCACUCAAACUUACCUGAAGUUCAUCUUGGCCCCAUGCAUACUUCUCAUACGAACUCCAUGCAUGAAUCAUAGCAUCCUUUACUUUCUGUUUUCGCUGGAUAUCAAUAGGAUCCUCCACAAAUGCCUUGUUUCCAGGGGGCUGUUUAGCUUGUUUUAUGUGAUCAAUUUUUUCAAUUACAUUGGCAGGGUUAUUCUUUAUCUCUUCCAGCUGAAAGAAUAAAUUUUGCAUCAAAACAACAGUUAAGAAUCCCUUAGAAAACUGCCCAUAAAGGUUGUCAGGGUGCUGCUCGUGGCUUAAGAAUUCACUUGUAGCAUUAUUAGUCACAUAAAUAGCAUUGAAGACAGAUAAAGGGAAAUAGAAUAGGCCUUUUGCAUGUAUAUUUCAUUGUAUCAAUCAGAAAUUAUAGGGCCUUUGGCAGAAGUAUUCUUUCUUUUUUACAUAAUAUGCCUGGGAAAAAGAAAUAAGCAUGCCACAACUGGGAGAAAAAUAGGUUUGUUUCAGGUUAAUAGAUCAAAACACCCAGAGAUCUGUUGAUCAUGAACAAUAGUACAACAAUAGCCAAGAUGUACCCAACCCCUCCUCUCCUCACCCCCAAUCUCCCACCACCCAUCCUCCUUCGUCCCUCUUUUAUCCAACUCCGGAAGAAGCAGAAAAAGGGAAAAAGAAAAGAGUAGAAGAGAAAGAUAAGAGAAUGCUAAGGUUGACAACUCCUACCAUAUUUCGCAAUUGAGUAACUUCUUCAUUUAACUCGGAAAGUUCAACCUGCGAUACAAAAGAAUUUUGUUAUGCAAACACAUUUCAGUAAAUUGAAAAAAAAAAAAACUUUGACAGAGCAAAAAAGUUUACGAUAAAUUCAUUUCUGAAUAUAUAUUGUAUAUAUCCACCAAAGAACUUAUGCUCACACAUAAAAUAAAUGAUAUAAGAACUUGCUUGAUGAACAUGGCCACAAUAGGGCAUUGUGUCAUUUUGUAGUGUGCUAAGUAAAUACAUUUUAAUCAAGAUGUUACAAAUAAAAUAUAGGACAGGGAGGAAAAGAAUACAAAAGUAAACUUCUCAUUCUAUUUCUCACUCCCUCUUUUAUAUUCCUCUUCAUCUUGUUACUCUGUAAUCCUCAUCCAAACCAACUAAUCUCUUUGAAAAUAACAUUUAGCUACUUUGUUACUUUAUUUACUUUAUUGGUUAAUGCCUAUAAAAUUAUAAAAUCAUGCUACAUAUGUGGUGGAGUUUUGACAAAUUACUUGUAAUGGAAUCAAGCAUCCUGUUUGCAACUCAAGGCUGACAUGUUCAAGAAACAACUUGGGGCCUAGCUUCUCCUAGCCCUCACUGUUUUUCUUACGUGUAUCCAUAUUAUCAAUUCUAGCUCGGUCUUCUCCUUGUUCUCCUUGGUUGCUUUUCGUGAAUACCUCAUUUGUAAUUCAGAUCAAACUCUAACAUGAUUUUCACUUUUAGAGUAAAAUAUAUGGAUGUAAUCUACUCAUGUCAACAACAAAUGAAUGACCAGGACAAUAAAUCCAUCACCUGUUCACCCAUUUAUUGUAAAUUCAAUUAUCCGUCUUGAUGUGCGAGAAGGGUGGUAAAUGAUCCACCCAAUAGGUUCCACAACUUCUCAUUGUGCAAGACGUACAAAUCAGUGUAGGUCUUUUCAAGGACUGUUGCCCCCUCUCAACUUCAGCCUUCCUCAAUCUUUUUUAACAACUCAAUGGACCCCUCAAAAUUGUUUAAUCAUCAUUUUUCUUUGUUAAUCUCAAUUGGAAGGGGGUGUUGAGAUGGAGUAUAAAAGCUGGUUUGGCCUUCUAGGGGAGUGAUAGAUGACUGGGUAUAUUUUUGUAGAGCACAGAAAAUUUAAGUUUUUGCUUACUCAGUGGACAACCGAUCAACUUUACUGUAAUGAUUCUUUAUCUUUAGUAAGUUUUCCAGUUUCUUACCAAAAGAGUAAUAAUUUAAAUAAAUCUACUUCCUACCUUAGGUGCUGGAAGCCUAUAUUCUUGAUGUGGAUGCUUUGGUCUUCAUUGGCCAUCGAAGUUCAAGUGAGUCAAGUACUUAUCUUGGUAAUUUCUCAUUUCAGAACGGAUCUUGAAAAUGAACUAAACAAAUUACCUAAAACUUCAUUAGUCUGUAACUGGAUGCACUCUCAAUUCGUCAGUCAAUAUUUUUCUCAUUUUACUUAUAUUCUAAUAUAUAGUAAUACGACCUCCCGCAUUGGUAACUACGGCAUUGGUAACUACAAUUCUAGCUACAAUUGGCUUCUACUCUUUCUAUCAUAAAAAAUUGCACUGAACUCUUAACAGAUAACACAGUUUCCUUCAAUGUAAAGUAUUCUUAGAUCCAGGUUCCAGCAUAAAUACCGGAUAUCGUCAGCUCUAACUGUCUAUUCUUGCUCAAUACUCACGCAUAAAUGCUCAAAAUGAGAUCCUAGAACCACCAAGUUCAAUGGUUAAUUUAAUCAAACUUCAGCUCGAUUUAAGAGAAUAUCAAACAAUCUACAUUCCUCGCAAUGAUGGAACGGAGACCAUUGAUUCUGAAGAAUCAAUAUAGAUUCCAAACUAAGAUCAUUGCAUAAACUAAAUAUCCAAUGCCAUUAUCAUCAUGUAAUUAACAAAUAUUAAACAACCAAACAACAUUCACAAUUUUUAUAUUAAAGAAUUUAUAAAAAAAAAUACCUCGUGUUCUCUAACAAGAGUCUGGCGAUCCCAAACGACCAGUGUAACAGAAACAAACACGAUCAAAAGCAUAGCCAAACGCUUCGGUCUCUUCAGGUAAUACGCCGGAUUACAGUAUCUCAAUUUGCCACUUGAUGAUGAUGAUGAUGAUGAUCUAUUCCUCGCCAUCUGAUUGAUUAAAUUAGAUCUAACAACAAAAGCUGAACUCCUAAAUCAACUAUUUUAUUUUAUUUAUUUUUAAUUUAAUCCAUUAUAGAUAAAGAUUUGUCAAAACGGAAGCAUUUGGAGCAAACGAGCGAGGCUGAUCUGAGAGAAGAACGUAAACGGGAACCAAAACGUUUCGAGACGAUCUUUUUGCUCGAAAAACGUUUCGAGGAUUUGAUUGUGUUUGUAUGAAAUGUUUGAUGGGAGAGAAAGAUAGGCGAACGAGUGUUUGUGAAGAAAGAAACACGGGAGAAUUUUACAAAGUGGUGUUUGAUUGAAGACCAAUUGACAGUUGACAUGUCAGCAGCCGAAGACUAAGUCGCAAUUCUUAUUCUUCCUUUGUUUCUAUUUCUGUGUCAGUCAAGUCAAUGGUUAAUUUUUUUUUAUUUUUUAUUUUUUGGAUUUAAAAAGUUUAUUGUUCAUUUUAAUUUUAAUAAAAUGAUACUUGCACGCGCGUGUUUUAUGUAUCAAGUAGAUUUUUGAAUCAAUCUCGUUGUUAUAUUAUGAAUCCAAGAAAUCUAGGUACCGUUUGGGUAUUGUUUUCUGAUUACUGCUUUCAUAAAAUAAAAAUAGAUUGAAAAUAUUAUUUUUAAAAUUUUAAAAUGUGUAUGGCAUAAUUUUUAAAAUUAACCUUGAAAAUGAGAAAUGUAAAUCAAGCCCGGUAGGAGUAUUUUAAAGAAUUAUUAUUAGAAUAAUUUCAUAAAAUUAAUAUUAAGUAAUGUAUAAUCAUUUUUAUUAUUUAAUUAGUUUGAUUAUU
rnacentral:lncRNA from 1 species